UGCGCAGGCGGUUUUGUAAGUCAGAUGUGAAAUCCCCGAGCUCAACUUGGGAACUGCGUUUGAAACUGCAAGACUAGAAUAUGUCAGAGGGGGGUAGAAUUCCACGUGUAGCAGUGAAAUGCGUAGAGAUGUGGAGGAAUACCAAUGGCGAAGGCAGCCCCCUGGACAAAGACUGACGCUCAGGUGCGAAAGCGUGGGGAGCAAACAGGAUUAGAUACCCUCGUA
rnacentral:rRNA from 1 species